GUCUUACCCUGUCAGGUUCUGGCUAGGAAACCUCCAUCUGGACUGAGCUACCAUUUCUUACCAAUUGAUUUAUCUAAUCCCUUUGGCUUGCGAAGGACCUGGCUCAUUCCCCACGUGCUGGUCCCCAGUCGUCAUGUUACCAAGGCACUCAGCCUUCAGGACUGCAAAACCCUAACGGGCAGUGUCUUCCCAAGGGACAGCCUAAAGAUCCAGAAGCCAAAGAACGAAACUGAAAACCUAUCAGAGAAAUAUACGUGCUGUAGGGCACAGCUCAGCCUAUUACAUGGUCCUGAGCAGAGCUGGACUCCCUGUUCUCAGAGACAGGGGCCCCUUCCCACACUGGGGAAAGGGGCAAACAGUGGUGGGGUGCCUUGAGGGGUUUGCUGUGUGUGAUUUGGUGUUUAGGUAUUCAACCCAAACAGCUGUUUUUGCACUUUAGAAUUUUUUAAGUUUUUUUAAUUGAAGUAGAGCUGAUUGACAAUAUCGUGCUUGUUUCAGGUGUACAGCGCAGUGAUUCAGUAAUUUUUGAAGAUUAUAUUUCAUUAUAGGUUAUUACAAGAUACUGAAUAUAAUUCCUUGUGCUAGAUAGUAAAUCCUUCUUAUCUUUUUUUUUCUUUUUUCUUUUUAGGGCAGCACCUGUGGCGUAUGGAGCUUCUCAGGCUACAGGUCCAGUUGGAGCUGCAGCUGCCGUCCUAUGCCACAGCCACAGCAGUGCUGGAUCCAGGUCACACCUCACGGCAACACUGGAUCCUUAACCCACUCGUCAUCCUUGCCCAGCCGCAGCCCCAGCCAGAAGACUGCAGGGAGCUCCAGCCUCGAGUUCCGGACCCCUGGGGGCAGCUCCUGCUUUCAGAAGUUGUGGCGGAAGGGACUCUGUACUGCUCUUCAGCGACGCCCUGGACAUGAGCUCUCCCGGGCACAGAUUGAGCCGUCCAGCAAGGUUAAGAAGCCAGCUGGAGGAAGAGUCAACAGCCCUCAAGUUUGACACUUGUCACUCUUGUUUUUCUACGUUGGGAUUUAACAAGAGGAUUCAAGAAGAGAACCACUCGUCAAGCCGUCAUCUGGUCACUGGCUGCUCUGUUGAUGCUUUCAGCCAGACUCUAGGAUAUCAGCGGAGAUUUGGUUUUGGCAAAAACAAAAAAUUUUUAUAGUCCCUGCUAGAAAUUCCUUAUCCAGAAGGGCAUCAAAGCCAGGGGGCCUUCAGAGUAAGGGAUAAAUCCACUCCAGGCUGGUGGGAGGGUCCCCUUAGCCAUUUUGCCCCUCACCUGAGGAGGAGGGCAGGUGAGGGGAGACUGGUUUCCACUGGAAACAGAGAAAGUCCCUAUGGACAAAGAUUGUCACCUGCCACUUCAGGAAACAAAGGAUGCUGCAGCCGGAGUUCCCAUCGUGGCUCAGUGGUUAAUGAAUCUGACUAGGAACCAUGAGGUUGCAGGUUCGAUCCCUGGCCUCACUCAGUGGGUUAAGGAUCCAGCGUGAGCUGUGGUGUUAGGUCGCAGACACGGCUUGGAUCUGGUGUUGCUGUGGCACUGGUGUAGGCCAAUGGCUACAGCUCCGAUUAGACCCCUAGCCUGGGAACCCCCUUUUGUCGUCCAAGGGGUGGCCCGGGAAAAAAAAAAAAAAAAAAAAAAAAAAAGAUGCUGCAGCCAUCAAGCCCACAGCUACUGUAGCUGCCAUGGACUGUGAACCCUGAAGGUACUCAGGAUGGAGAAAACAGGACACUGGCCUGUCACGAGACAUGUUUCUACAACAUUUUCUUAACCUCUUUGCUGAAAACCGCAUCUUGUCCUGCUUUACUUGACCCCGUCUUCCUGCUUGAAAACAGUCUCCUACUGGUAAAUGACUUAAGCUUAAGAACAAAGACCUAAAGGCAUGAGUUAUUCAUAGGGUCAGCUGAAUGAGGACUUAAUGCAUUGGUCUAGGCACAUCCAGACCUGUGCAGAUUGGCAUUCCUUUUGCACAGCAGGAUAUGUUCUCUAAAGAAUAAGAGAAGGAGGAAUUUCAUGGCCAAGUGCUUUAUAAGUGGUCAUUAGCAGCAUAUGCAUCAGCAAAGAGAACCAAGGUGCAAACCUAGGCACACUGGGUUGCCACAAAUAGGCAUGCUGUUUGCCGAAGCCCAGUGAGGAUUCUCUGGAAAGCUCUGCAUAGAUCGCCAACUCAAAUGCUAAUGACUGUUAUGUGCCUAACAGUCAGAGUAAAAGCUUAACCUUUUACCAGCAAGUGGCUUUUAAAGUAAUAAAAGAUCUUAUACAAUAGUAAACA
rnacentral:lncRNA from 1 species